UGUAAGGAUGAUCAUGAUCAGGAGGAGCAUGAGCAAGAAUAGAGCUGUGGACAGAAAUACUUGGGAUCAGAUAUUGUAAAGACAAGAGCAACAGCU